CCUACGGGAGGCAGCAGUGAGGAAUAUUGGUCAAUGGGCGAAAGUCUGAACCAGCCAAGUCGCGUGAGGGAUGACUGCCCUAUGGUUUGUAAACUUCUUUUAUAUGGGAAUAAAAUGUUCCACGUGUCGUGUUUUGUAUGUACCAUAUGAAUAAGGAUCGGCUAACUCCGUGCCAGCAGCCGCGGUAAUACGGAGGAUCCGAGCGUUAUCCGGAUUUAUUGGGUUUAAAGGGAGCGUAGGGGGAUUGUUAAGUCAGUUGUGAAAGUUUGCGGCUCAACCGUAAAAUUGCAGUUGAAACUGGGAGGCUUGAGUACAGGAGAGGUGGGCGGAAUUCGUGGGGUAGCGGUGAAAUGCUUAGAUAUCACGAAGAACUCCGAUUGCGAAGGCAGCUUACUGGACUGUAACUGACACUGAGGCUCGAAAGUGUGGGGAUCAAACAGGAUUAGAUACCCGGGUAGUC
rnacentral:rRNA from 1 species